GUUUGAUCAUGGCUCAGGAUGAACGCUAGCGGCGCGCUUAAUGCAUGCAAGUCGAGCGAUGAGGCACCUUCGGGUGCCAUCAGCGGCAGACGGGUGAGUAACACGUAGGUGACCUGCCCUGGAGAUGGGGAUAACGGAUGGAAACAUGCGCUAAUACCCAAUACCCUUACGGCGUCAAAGCGGUAAGGAAAGCUACGGUGCUUCAGGAGGGACCUGCGGCCUAUCAGCUAGUUGGUGAGGUAACGGCCCACCAAGGCGACGACGGGUAGGGGGUGUGAGAGCACGACCCCCCACAAUGGGACUGAGAGACGGCCCAUACUCCUACGGGAGGCAGCAGCAGGGAAUAUUGCACAAUGGACGGAAGUCUGAUGCAGCGACGCCGCGUGGAUGAUGAAGGCCUUCGGGUUGUAAAAUCCUUUUCAGGGGGAAGAGAACAGGACGGUACCCCUGGAAUAAGCGUCGGCUAACUACGUGCCAGCAGCCGCGGUAAGACGUAGGACGCGAGCGUUAUCCGGAUUUACUGGGCGUAAAGCGUCUGUAGGCGGAACAGUAAGUUGGGCGUGAAAGCUCCGGGCUUAACUCGGAGAGGACGUACAAGACUGCUGAACUAGAGGCCACCAGAGGGGCGUGGAAUUUCCGGUGUAGCGGUAAAAUGCGCAGAUAUCGGAAGGAACACCAGUGGCGAAGGCGACGCCCUGAGGUGGGCCUGACGCUAAGAGACGAAGGCUAGGGGAGCGAACAGGAUUAGAGACCCUGGUAGUCCUAGCCGUAAACGAUGGAUGCUAGGUGUGGGGCCGACAGGCUCCGUGCCGAAGCCAACGCGAUAAGCAUCCCGCCUGGGGAGUACGGCCGCAAGGCUAAAACUCAAAUGAAUUGACGG
rnacentral:rRNA from 1 species